GCAAGUCGAGGGGUAACGGCAGUAGCUUGCUACUAGACGACGACCGGCGCACGGGUGAGUAACGCGUAUGUAAUCUGCCUUGUACAGAGGGAUAGCCCAGAGAAAUUUGGAUUAAUACCUCAUAGUAUUACUGAAUCGCAUGAUUUGGUAAUUAAAGCUCCGGCGGUACAAGAUGAACAUGCGUGACAUUAGCUAGUUGGUAAGGUAACGGCUUACCAAGGCCACGAUGUCUAGGGGUUCUGAGAGGAUGAUCCCCCACACUGGUACUGAGACACGGACCAGACUCCUACGGGAGGCAGCAGUGAGGAAUAUUGGUCAAUGGACGCAAGUCUGAACCAGCCAUCCCGCGUGAAGGAUGACUGCCCUAUGGGUUGUAAACUUCUUUUAUAUGCAAAUAAACCUGCUUUCGUGAAAGUAGCUGAAGGUAGCAUAUGAAUAAACACCGGCUAACUCCGUGCCGGCAGCCGCGGUAAUACGGAGGGUGUAAGCGU
rnacentral:rRNA from 1 species